GAUGAACGCUGGCGGCGUGCUUAACACAUGCAAGUCGAACGAUGAUGCCCAGCUUGCUGGGUGGUUUAGUGGCGAACGGGUGAGUAACACGUGAGUAACCUGCCCUUGACUCUGGGAUAAGCCUGGGAAACUGGGUCUAAUACCGGAUACGACCAUCUGGCGCAUGUCAUGGUGGUGGAAAGCUUUUGUGGUUUUGGAUGGACUCGCGGCCUAUCAGCUUGUUGGUGGGGUAAUGGCCUACCAAGGCGACGACGGGUAGCCGGCCUGAGAGGGUGACCGGCCACACUGGGACUGAGACACGGCCCAGACUCCUACGGGAGGCAGCAGUCGGGAAUAUUGUACAAUGGGCGCAAGCCUGAUGCAGCGACGCCGCGUGAGGGAUGACGGCCUUCGGGUUGUAAACCGCUUUCAGUAGGGAAGAAGCGAAAGUGACGGUACCUGCAGAAGAAGCGCCGGCUAACUACGUG
rnacentral:rRNA from 1 species